rnacentral:tRNA from 3 species
AGCCCGGUAGUGUAGAGGCCAAUCAUUCGGGUCUUUGGAACCUGAGACCGCGGUUCGAAUCCGCGCCGGGCUA